CUUGCGGCCACAUCACGUUGAAACACCGGUUCACGUACGAUCACGGAAGUUAAGGAAUGUUGAGCCUAGUCAAUACCUAGAUGGGUAAACGCUUCGGUAUAUCUGAUGCAG